GAUGAUAGACUACUCAUAUCAAUAAGGAAUUCCUUCUUUUCCGGGAGCCCAUUCGAACAGAACUCCGAGGUUAAGCGUGCUCAGCUGGGAGUAGUUCUAGGAUGGGUGACCGACCGGGAAGUUGACCCCGGGUGCGCAUGAGUGAGGACAAAGUGCGCAGAAAAGACUAGUAUUGAUAUGUGGGGCCAGUCUAGAUCCCGCCAGGAGUAACGACCGCCGACGGGUGUGUCCGGGGC
rnacentral:lncRNA from 1 species